ensembl:lncRNA
CGAGAAUCUGAAUUUCCUCUGCUACUUGAAUAUUAUGUAGUGAUCUCUGGCUGCACCCCUGCAUUACAUAUGACUUUCCACAAGAAGAGAUCUCCUACAGGAAGAUUACAUGCAUGACACUUUUCUUCUUUUUUGCUUUUACUUAUUAAGAUGUAUCAUAUGUUUGGCUUUCCUUAUUCAUAGGUAAUUUAUAGCAUUGAAACUGAAUGUCAGGCUUAGAUAGAAAGAUAGAUAAAUAGAUCAAUAGAUAGAUAGAUAGAUGUGGGGUAUGACCCAGCUUUUCCUUAAUUUCCAGUGGCCUUCAUAUAUCAAGCUGGAUACAAACAGACGUAAAUUAUCUUCAAUUGUUCUUAGGAGCAUUUACACAAGAAAUUUGGUAUUGAUGAAAAUCCUGAAAUUUUCAGAAAAACACUCGUAUCCUCCUUGUGCUCCUGGCUGUGUGUAAAUUUUACAUCCAACUAACUAACAUAAACCUUGAUUGAUCCGCUUCAAAACAUCAUUUUCCUGCUGCACUUUUAUAUACAGACUACACAGUCAAGUUUAAACCACUAUUUAGUAGAUUAGUCAUUUUAUUCAUAUAUACUAUAUCAAUAUUGACAUGUUCUAUUAUCAGUCUUUCAUAAUGCAUUUGAUCUGACUUUCACUGCAGUCAAGCAGUGCUUCAUUUUUAGUGGAAAAAGAUCGGUUUUAAACCUGUGCACUCUUGACGGAGCAAGAUUUCCGAGUUUCCUGCUCUUUUAUUCCUCCCUUUUUAAUAAAAGGUUAUUCACUAAAAAGAGAGCACUGUUGGACAUUAUUACUCGCUUUUGUGUAGAAAUAUUAAAGCUUAAAAACUGUCAUUUUGAAGUAAAACAUAUAUGCUAAUGUAAUAAAUAAAUGCUUUUCAAAAAUCAAGACAUGUUUAUUAUUCAGUGACAAUAACAUCAAAAUAUCUCUCACAUUCGCUGCUGCUAUCACACAGGAGGAGAUAAUCACUCUUCCGUCAUUUGUUUUCAAUAAGAGGUGGGUGAGCAGGAAAAACAAAGUAUGUAGAGUUGCAGGUUGGAGACAUCCGAGAUGCAAACUUAUGCCUUUGAUGCAAAAUUUCUCACCUUCUGAGGGAGAGAGAACGGCAUGAGGAAUGGACUACAUUCCCAGUUUGGCUAGCAAAUAGUUGACACAGAAGCAGGAAAUAAGCACAUUAUAUGGUUAAUCUUUCUCAAAUUGCAAUUAAAUCACCAUAUUGAAUGUAGCAUAUCUAGCUAGAAUGUAAGCGUGCAUUUAUAUUUGGGUAAAAUGACA